GCGAGAGUGGCGGAAUUGGUAGACGCACUGGCCUUAGGAGCCAGCGGACUAGCGCCGUAGGGGUUCGAGUCCCCUCUCUCGCACCA
rnacentral:tRNA from 1 species